ensembl:lncRNA
UUGUAAAAGUAAUGGAAAAAACUUUUUUUAAACUUCCAACUUUGAAAAGAAUGCCAAAAUAUUUUGCAAAAAGUCAUGAAAUUCUAUCUUUAGUCAUAUGAAGGGGGAAGAUGGUGAGAAAACGUACUUUUGAAUAAAAAUCCGGAUAUUUUCUAAAUUGGAGUCAUACGACAUUCUAAUGGCAGCAGUUGACACGGUACAGUGGUGUAGUGGUUAGCACUCUCGCCUCCCAGACAGAUGCCUCGGGUUCAACUCCACCCAGUGGCGCCUUUGGUGUAGGCUAAGUCUGCAUAGGGUUCACGCCAUACUUUUAAAACUAAUGGAAAAAACUUUUUUUAAACUUCCAAGUCUGAAAAGAAUGCCAACAUUUUUUGCAAAAAGUCAUGAAAUUCUAUCUUUAGUCAUAUGAAGGGGGACGACGGUGAGAAAAUGUACUUUUGAAAAAAAUCUGAAUUUUUUCUAAAUUGGAGUCAUAAGACAUUCUAAUUAAAGCAGUUGACACGGUACAGUGGUGUAGUGGUUAGCACUCUCGCCUACCAGACAGAUCCCUCGGGUUCAACUCCACCCACUGGCGCCUCUGUGUUAGGUGGUGUAGGCUAAGCUUGCAUGGGGUUCACUCCAUACUUGUAAAAGUAAUGCAAGAUUUUUUUUUAAACUUCCAAGUCUGAAAAGAAUGCCAAAAUAUUUUGCAAAAAGUCAUGAAAUUCUAUCUUUAGUCAUAUGAAGGGGGAAGAUGGUGAGAAAACGUACUUUUGAAUAAAAAUCUGAAUUUUUUCUAAAUCGGAGUCAUAAGACAUUCUAAUUAAAGCGGUUGACACGGUACAGUGGUGUAGUGGUUAGCACUCUCGCCUCCAAGACAGAUCCCUCGAGUUCAACUCCACCCACUGGCGCCUAUGUGUUAGGUGGUGUAGGCUAAGCCUGCAUGGGGUUCACUCCAUACUUGUAAAAGUAAUGCAAGAUUUUUUUUUUAAACUUCCGAGUCUAAAAAGAAUGGCAAAAUAUUUAGCAAAAAGUCAUGAAAUUCUAUCUUUAGUCAUAUGAAGGGGGAAGAUGGUGAGAAAACGUACUUUUGAAUAAAAAUCCGGAUAUUUUCUAAAUUGGAGUCAUAAGACAUUCUAAUUAAAGCAGUUGACACGGUACAGUGGUGUAGUGGUUAGCACUCUCGCCUCCCAGACAGAUGCCUCGGGUUCAACUCCACCCAGUGGCGCCUUUGGUGUAGGCUAAGUCUGCAUGGGGUUCAUGCCAUACUUUUAAAACUAAUGGAAAAAACUUUUUUUAAACUUCCAAGUCUGAAAAGAAUGCCAACAUUUUUUGCAAAAAGUCAUGAAAUUCUAUCUUUAGUCAUAUGAAGGGGGACGACGGUGAGAAAACGUACUUUUGAAAAAAAUCUGAAUUUUUUCUAAAUUUGAGUCAUAAGACAUUCUAAUUAAAACAGUUGACACGGUACAGUGGUGUAGUGGUUAGCACUCUCGCCUCCAAGACAGAUCCCUCGGGUUCAACUCCACCCACUGGCGCCUCUGGU